AACUCCACCUUUGUUUCCAAGAACAGGAGCAUCACACAGCAGCAGCAGCAAGAACACCAGCAAGAGUGAAGAUGGAAAUGUCAGCAGUGAUGACAGGAACUACAACAGCAACACCAGCAGCAAUAACACUGGAACUGGGAACAGGAACAGUGACAAGAGCAGCUAUCAGACAGGGAUAGGAUGAUCUUCACCAUUUUAGAAGAAAUCAAGGGCCAGGGGAGACAAAACAACCUGAUGCUUCAGGCACUUCUCAAGCGGCAGCCUCAGGUAGAGCAAGAGCGUGGCAGCAUGCGCCUGGACGAAUUCUGGUUUCCUCUUGACACCAAGGAGGACAUUGACAGAGUGGAGAGGAUGUUAAUGAACCAGGCUACAGAAAAGACACUGCUGCAGCCAAGAACUCUUCUGUCACAGAGGCAGACACAGAGGCCAGGAUGAGGAACUGGCUAAAGUACAGUGGAGACCGGGAUGGGAAGCGGAAGAGGAGGGCAGAAAAGAAAAAGGAUGCAGAGUCUGCAAAUGCUGCUGCAGUUGCUGCUGCUAGUGCUGCCAGUGACAUUGAAGAAGAUUAUGAGAUUGUUUGAGC